CAAACACAAAAAUUUCAAGUAGUUAUUCAUGCACAGAAAUUAAAAGCACCUGAGGCACAAAUUCAGGAUCUUAAAAAGAAACAAGAGAACCACGUUCAGCUUUUACAGCAAAAGCAGAAGAGUGAUGAAGCAGCAAAACUGUUGCAAGAAGAAAUUCAAUUCAUCAAGGCCCAAAAGGUUCAACUACAACAAAAGAUAAAACAAAAGGCAGAACAACUUCGGCAUUGGAAAGCCUCUUGAGAGAAUGAACUGCUAUAGGUACAUUUUUUCAAUUAUUUGGUU